rnacentral:rRNA from 1 species
AGCAGCCGCGGUAAUUCCAGCUCCAAUAGCGUAUAUUAAAGUUGUUGCAGUUAAAAAGCUCGUAGUUGAAUUUCGGGAUUGACACAUCGGUCGUGCCUUAAGGGGUAUGAACUGGUGUAGUCAGUUUCUCACCUUCUGGAGAACCGCGAUGUCCUUAAUUGGGUGCCGCGAGGAACCAGGACCUUUACUUUGAAAAAAUUAGAGUGUUUAAAGCAGGCAUUUUGCUUGAAUACAUUAGCAUGGAAUAAUAAAAUAGGACGGAUGGUUCUAUUUUGUUGGUUUCUAGGAUCACCGUAAUGAUUAAUAGGGAUAGUUGGGGGCAUUAGUAUUCAAUUGUCAGAGGUGAAAUUCUUGGAUUUAUUGAAGACUAACUACUGCGAAAGCAUUUGCCAAGGAUGUUUUCAUUAAUCAAGAACGAAAGUUAGGGGAUCGAAGACGAUCAGAUACCGU